GGAAGCGAAGGGGGUCCGGUGACUCUCCCGGUCUUCAAAACCGGCGAUUGGCAUCUAGCGAUGUCAAUGGUGCGUUCGACUCGCACACGCUUCCGCCA
rnacentral:tRNA from 1 species